rnacentral:rRNA from 1 species
UACGUAGGGUGCGAGCGUUAAUCGGAAUUACUGGGCGUAAAGCGUGCGCAGGCGGUUUUGUAAGACAGAUGUGAAAUCCCCGGGCUUAACCUGGGAACUGCAUUUGUGACUGCAAGACUAGAGUGUGUCAGAGGGGGGUGGAAUUCCACGUGUAGCAGUGAAAUGCGUAGAGAUGUGGAGGAAUACCGAUGGCGAAGGCAGCCCCCUGGGAUAACACUGACGCUCAUGCACGAAAGCGUGGGGAGCAAACAGG